rnacentral:rRNA from 1 species
ACGGCGAGUGAACAGGCAAGAGCUCAGAUUUGAAAGGCACUUUUGUGCCGUUGUAUUCUGAAGUUAGGGUCCUGAGAAACGAUGCUUAAGUCUUCUGGAAAGGAGCGCCAUGGAGGGUGAUAGCCCCGUCUAGCAUUGACCUCAUAUAGGAUCUUAACAUGGAGUCGAGUUGUUUGGGAAUGCAGCUCAAAUGGGUGGUAUGCUCCAUCUAAAGCUAAAUAUCUGCGAGAGACCGAUAGUAAACAAGUACUGUGAGGGAAAGAUGAAAAGAACUUUGAAAAGAGAGUGAAAGAGUACGUGAAAUUGUUGAAAUGGAAGUG